UAUAAAACCUAUGUGAAUUGUCAUAACAAUCAUACAUACCUACCACAACUUUACUCUUUUCUCUCUUCUCUUUCUUCUAGAAUCGUCAUCUUCUCACCGGAUUUUCAACAUUGAAUCAAGAUCAAAGAUCCGCCUAUAUAUCUUGAAGAUCAGACCAUAAAUCUUGAAGGUAUGUUGUUUUACUCGGUUGUUUAUGUAGUAUACAUCUUUAAUCUAAGAGAUUGAACAUGUUUAUUUUUUUCUUAAACCAAAAUCUACAUCAGAUGUUUUUUGUUGAUUUUUGUUAUGUAUAAAAUCAAGUUUCCGGGUUUUUCUUAA